GCUUACGGCCACACUGCCUGGUUCACGCCUGAUCUCGGAAGCUAAGAUAGGUUGGGCCUGGUUAGUACUUGGUUGGGAGACCGCCUGGGAAUACCAGGUGCUGCAAGCU
rnacentral:rRNA from 1 species